UUCUUUUAACAAUUGAGAGUGUGUUCCGUUAAUUUUUCCCUUGCUUUACACGUGUCGGGUAUUAACUUCCUCACUCAUCGUUGUGAUUCGCCAAAAUUGCCACAUCAACUCCCUGUUAGUGACCCUUGCCUCCCUCAGCCCUCCUCCAACGUCGUUUCCCUCUCCGACAUAGGGAAAAGCCUCCUUUGUGGAGAACCCACAGAGCAGAGAUUCUUUUCUACUUCAAAGCUCGACCAGAAGAUGGAGUUGGUCAGUGAGAUCGAAGAGGGAGAUAUUGACAGGAGAAGACGGGAAAACCGAUAAACACAACAGUUGUGUCGCUACUGCUGCUGUUCAUCCUUCCUAACCCUUCUUACAACAGCUUCUCGGUUACUUCUGAUUCCGACCUGGACAGUUUAAUGGUAUCUAAGGUUUAUCUAUAUUGCCUCUCACCCUGUGUCGGACACUCAGAAGUAUUUUCCCGUUUUGGUUUUUAUAUGUGAUUCUAAAGUGUAAAUUUUAAUGGUCAGAAGGUGUUUGUUGUUUUGCUUAUAUAAAAUUGUAAAGGUGAAAUGUUCAAUCUUGGAUUUAAUAAAGGUUGGUGUAGAUUGGAUGUGGAUGAACCUUCCUGAAGCUUAGAAGGUGAAGAUGUUCUACAAAUUGGUCGUCUUUUUGUUCAUAAUCUGCUAUACGGUGCUACGGAAGAUGAUAUGAGAGAGCACUUCAGCAACUUUAACAGUAUCUAAAUCCAAUUUGGUGGUUGAUAAAGACACAAAACGAUCAAAGGGGAAUGGUUAUAUUCUCGAUACACUACCAGAAUCUGGCACUAGAAGAUCUUCAUAAUUCUAUCUUUCAAUGAAGGCUUUUGCACGUUAUGCUAGCAAAGGAGAAAAUUGUUCUUAUGAAAGAAGAGUAACCAUCAGUAGACCAUUAUUUUAUUGUUUUUUCUCCUAAUGAUCUCAUCAAUUUAAUUAUAUUUUGUUGGAUUAAUGAUUGUGCUACUCAUACAAAUGUAUUUAAGGAACAAAGGGAGGAUAGAAGGAAGAAAUAUAAAAGUAGUGCAUAACUGCAGAUACAAAACCAGCCAGAAAAGUAUUAUCCAGCAACUUGUAUUCGCAGAUGGUCACAUACAGAUUGGCAUUUUACUCUGUGAAGAUGUUUUUUACUCUCAUUACAUAACUUUGGAUCGGCCAAAGGCUUCUCCUUCCAAAAGUUGAGAACUUACUUCUCGUGUCAAAAACUGAAGAUUCUAAUAUAAAGCUUACUGAAUUCGGUAUUUCUAACUUCAUCAAGCCAGGGGAAUCAUAUCAUGUACCUGGAACAGAUGGUGUAGGAACCAAACUUAAGCUGGCAUUAGAGACUGGAAUCAAUGAUUCCAUUGGAAUUGAUUUGAUAGGAAUGAGCGUGAAUGACAUCAUCACAUCUACAGCAAAGCCUUUAUUCUUUCUUGAUUACUAUGCAACAAGUUGCAGUCAUGUUGAUCUUGUUGAAAAGGUUAUAAAAGGAACUUUUAAUGGUUGCCAACAAUUUGACUCUGCUCUUGUGGGUGGGGAGACUGCAGAAAUGCCAGAUUUUUAUGCAGAAGUUGAAAGCUCCAAUGAAAGUGUUUGGUGAUUUACAUGGACAGUUAGGUGAUCUCAUGCGCCUCUUUGAUGGAUACGUAUUUCCUUCUACUGCUAGAGACAACAUAUAUUGACUAAAUAUUCAUAGGCGAUUAUGUUGAAUGGGGUCAACAUAGCUUGGAGACUAUCACAUUGUUUCUUGCCUUAAAGGUGGGAAUCGUGUAUUUACUUUUAAGAAAGUUUUUAGUUGUUGAUAUCGUCUUCAUCAGGGUGUCAAAUUUUCAAAGUUCCCGUUCUCAAUUAAAUAUAUUGAGCUUUGGAGUAUGGUCCAUCCAAAGAUUACACACGGAAAAUAUUUGUAGACAUGCACUAUCAACUGCUCUAUCUAAUCCAUGAGAACUUAGAAGAAGUUGAAAAAGUAAAUCUUAAAAUUGAACGUCA